rnacentral:rRNA from 1 species
GACGAACGCUGGCGGCGUGCCUAAUACAUGCCAGUAGAACGCACAGUUUAUACCGUAGCUUGCUACACCAUAGACUGUGAGUUGCGAACGGGUGAGUAACGCGUAGGUAACCUGCCUGGUAGCGGGGGAUAACUAUUGGAAACGAUAGCUAAUACCGCAUAAUAUUAAUUAUUGCAUGAUAAUUAAUUGAAAGGUGCAAUUGCACCACUACCAGAUGGACCUGCGUUGUAUUAGCUAGUAGGUGAGGUAACGGCUCACCUAGGCGACGAUACAUAGCCGACCUGAGAGGGUGAUCGGCCCAACUGGGAGUGAGACACGGCCCAGAGUCCUACGGGAGGCAGCAGUAGGGAAUCUUCGGCAAUGGACGAAAGUCUGACCGAGCAACGCCGCGUGAGUGAAGAAGGUUUUCGGAUCGUAAAGCUCUGUUGUAAGAGAAGAACGGGUGUGAGAGUGGAAAGUUCACACUGUGACGGUAUCUUACCAGAAAGGGACGGCUAACUACGUG